UACGUAGGGCGCAAGCGUUAUCCGGAAUUAUUGGGCGUAAAGGGCUCGUAGGCGGUCUGUUGCGUCGGGAGUGAAAACUCAGGGCUUAACCCUGAGCCUGCUUCCGAUACGGGCAGACUAGAGUGUGGUAGGGGAGAUCGGAAUUCCUGGUGUAGCGGUGAAAUGCGCAGAUAUCAGGAGGAACACCGGUGGCGAAGGCGGAUCUCUGGGCCAUUACUGACGCUGAGGAGCGAAAGCGUGGGGAGCGAACAGG
rnacentral:rRNA from 1 species